rnacentral:sRNA from 1 species
AUUUUUGGUUUAUUAGUAUCUGGAGUCGCUAGUAUUA